GCCCUUUGUACACACCGCCCGUCGCUACUACCGAUUGAAUGGCUCAGUGAGGCGUUCGGACUGGCUCGGGGAGGUUGGCAACGACCACCCCAAGCCGGAAAGUUCGUCAAACUCGGUCAUUUAGAGGAAGUAAAAGUCGUAACAAGGUCUCCGUAGGUGAACCUGCGGAGGGAUCAUUACACAAUACAAUAUGAAGGCUGUCCGCAGCUGGAGUAUUUUAUUACCCUUGUCUUUUGCGCACUUGUUGUUUCCUGGGCGGGUUCGCUCGCCACCAGGACCACCAAAUAAACCUUUUUUAUGCAGUUGCAAUCAGCGUCAGUACAAACAAUGUAAAUCAUUUACAACUUUCAACAACGGAUCUCUUGGUUCUGGCAUCGAUGAAGAACGCAGCGAAAUGCGAUACGUAGUGUGAAUUGCAGAAUUCAGUGAAUCAUCGAAUCUUUGAACGCACAUUGCGCCCUUUGGUAUUCCAAAGGGCAUGCCUGUUCGAGCGUCAUUUGUACCCUCAAGCUUUGCUUGGUGUUGGGCGUUUUUGUCUUUGGUCGCCCAAAGACUCGCCUUAAAGUGAUUGGCAGCCGGCCUUUCUGGUUUCGCAGCGCAGCACAUUUUUGCGCUUGCCAUCAGCAAAACGGCAAUCCAUCAAGCCUCCUUCUCACGUUGACCUCGGAUCAGGUAGGA
rnacentral:sRNA from 1 species